rnacentral:rRNA from 1 species
AGAGUUUGAUCAUGGCUCAGAACGAACGCUGGCGGCAGGCUUAACACAUGCAAGUCGAGCGCUGUAGCAAUACAGAGCGGCGCACGGGUGAGUAACACGUGGGAACGUGCCCUAUGGUUCGGAAUAACUCAGGGAACCUUGAGCUAAUACCGGAUAAGCCCUUACGGGGAAAGAUUUAUCGCCAUUGGAGCGGCCCGCGUCCGAUUAGCUUGUUGGUGAGGUAAAAGCUCACCAAGGCGACGAUCGGUAGCUGGUCUGAGAGGACGACCAGCCACACUGGGACUGAGACACGGCCCAGACUCCUACGGGAGGCAGCAGUGGGGAAUCUUGGACAAUGGGGGAAACCCUGAUCCAGCCAUGCCGCGUGAGUGAUGAAGGCCCUAGGGUUGUAAAACUCUUUCGGCGGGGACGAUAAUGACGGUACCCGCAGAAGAAGCUCCGGCUAACUUCGUGCCAGCAGCCGCGGUAAUACGAAGGGGGCUAGCGUUGUUCGGAAUUACUGGGCGUAAAGCGCGCGCAGGCGGUCCUUCAAGUCAGAGGUGAAAGCCCAGAGCUCAACUCUGGAACGGCCUUUGAGACUAGAGGACUUGGGUACGGGAGAGGUGAGUGGAAUUCCGAGUGUAGAGGUGAAAUUCGUAGAUAUUCGGAAGAACACCAGUGGCGAAGGCGGCUCACUGGCCCGUUACCGACGCUCAGGCGCGACAGCGUGGGGAGCAAACAGGAUUAGAUACCCUAGUAGUCC